ACGGUCCUAAGGUAGCGAAAUUCCUUGUCGGGUAAGUUCCGACCCGCACGAAAGGCGUAAUGAUUUGAGCACUGUCUCGACAAUGCAUCCGGUGAAAUUGAAGUACCAGUGAAGAUGCUGGUUACCUGCGCCAGGACGGAAAGACCCCAUGGAGCUUUACUCCAGCUUGAUACUGGGAUUCGAUACUGUAUGUACAGGAUAGGUGGGAGACGUUGAGCAUAGAACGCCAGUUUUAUGUGAGUCGCUGUUGGGAUACCACCCUUGCAGUAUUGGAUUUCUAACCUGCACCCAUGACCUGGGUGGGGGACAAUGUCUGGCGGGGAGUUUGACUGGGGCGGUCGCCUCCGAAAGGGUAUCGGAGGCGCUCAAAGGUUCCCUCAGAAUGGUUGGAAACCAUUCGAAGAGUGCAAAGGCAGAAGGGAGCUUGACUGCGACACCGACGGGUGGAGCAGGUACGAAAGUAGGACUUAGUGAUCCGGUGGUAUAAAGUGGGAUUGCCAUCGCUCAACGGAUAAAAGCUACCCUGGGGAUAACAGGCUUAUCACUCCCAAGAGUUCACAUCGACGGAGUGGUUUGGCACCUCGAUGUCGGCUCAUCGCAUCCUGGGGCUGUAGCAGGUCCCAAGGGUUGGGCUGUUCGCCCAUUAAAGCGGUACGCGAGCUGGGUUCAGAACGUCGUGAGACAGUUCGGUCCCUAUCCGGCGCGGGCGGAGGAUAUUUGAGAGGAGCUGUCCUUAGUACGAGAGGACCGGGAUGGACGGACCACUGGUGUAUCUGUUGUCGACCAACGGCAUGGCAGAGUAGCCAAGUCUGGAAGGGAUAAACGCUGAAGGCAUCUAAGCGUGAAGCCCCCCUCAAGAUGAGAUAUCCCUCACAAAAGUGGGUAAGAUCCCUUGAAGACUACAAGGUAGAUAGGGCAGAGGUGGAAGUGUGGCAACACAUGGAGCUGACUGUUACUAAUCGAUCGAGGGCUUGACCAA
rnacentral:rRNA from 1 species